GGCUCUUUGGAAAACUUACAUAAAGAGUCGGACCUGCCCAGUGAUACAUCUCGUAUUCAACGGCCGCGGUACUCUGACCGUGCAAAGGUAGCAUAAUCAUUUGCCCUAUAAUUGAGGGCUAGUAUGAAAGGUUUGACAAGGGCAACCCUGUCUCUGCAGAAAUCUCUGGAAUUUAUUUUCUAGGUGAAGAAACCUAGAUAAUAUUAAAAGACAAGAAGACCCUAUCGAGCUUAAAACUCAUUUAUGAUAUAAAGAAAGUGAUAUACACAUUUCUUUUCAUAAAAAAUUUUGGUUGGGGCGACUAAGGAACAACUAAAGCUUCUUUUAUUUAUAAAAAUAUCUAAAUCUAGAUCCGUACUAGUUACGAUUAAAAGAAUUAGUUACCGUAGGGAUAACAGCAUAAUCUUUUUUGAGAGUUCUCAUCGAAAAAAAGGUUUGUGACCUCGAUGUUGGACUAGAAUAUCCUGACAGGUGCAGAAGCCUUCAAGGGUUGGUCUGUUCGACCAUUAAAAUUCU
rnacentral:rRNA from 1 species